rnacentral:rRNA from 1 species
GUCCUUGCCGUAACGAUGUGGAUUAGGUGUCAAGGGUGUUGAUCCCUUUGGCGCCGACGCUAACGCAUUAAAUCCACCACCUGGGGAGUACGGUCGCAAGACUGAACUCAAAGAAAUUGACGGGACCCGCACAAGCGGUGGAGCAUGUGGUUUAAUUCGAGGCUACGCGAAGAACCUUACCCAGGCUUGACAUGUAGUUGCCAGCCAGCGAAAGCUGGUGUUCCCGCAAGGGACGAUUACACAGGUGCUGCAUGGCUGUCGU